ACGAACGCUGGCGGCGUGCUUAACACAUGCAAGUCGAACGGAAAGGCCCCUUUGGGGGUACUCGAGUGGCGAACGGGUGAGUAACACGUGAGUAACCUGCCCUUGACUUCGGGAUAACUUCAGGAAACUGGGGCUAAUACCGGAUAGGAAUCCUUGCUGCAUGGUGGGGGUUGGAAAGCUUCGGCGGUUUUGGAUGGACUCGCGGCUUAUCAGCUUGUUGGUGGGGUAGUGGCUUACCAAGGCUUUGACGGGUAGCCGGCCUGAGAGGGCGACCGGCCACAUUGGGACUGAGAUACGGCCCAGACUCCUACGGGAGGCAGCGGUGGGGAAUAUUGCACGAUGGGCGGAAGCCUGAUGCAGCAACGCCGCGUGCGGGAUGACGGCCUUCGGGUUGUAAACCGCUUUCAGCAGGGGCGAAGCUUGUGGUGACGGUACCUGCAGAAGAAGCACCGGCUAACUACGUG
rnacentral:rRNA from 1 species